rnacentral:rRNA from 1 species
UACGUAGGGUGCGAGCGUUUGUCCGGAAUUAUUGGGCGUAAAGAGCUCGUAGGCGGUGUGUCACGUCGGCCGUGAAAACCUGCAGCUUAACUGUGGGCGUGCGGUCGAUACGGGCAGGCUGGAGUUCGGUAGGGGAGACUGGAAUUCCUGGUGUAGCGGUGAAAUGCGCAGAUAUCAGGAGGAACACCGGUGGCGAAGGCGGGGUCUCUGGGCCGAUACUGACGUGAGGAGCGAAAGCGUGGGGAGCAAACAGG